rnacentral:lncRNA from 1 species
ACAUCUUACUAUUCUUUGAUUACAUAACCUUUACAACUCACUCUAUUAAAUAUGUACAUGCCAAAAUAUAACUGCACUAUGACUCAGAGACUCAAAACAACCAGCUAUGAUAAUGGCCUUGGUAUCUGAUGUAGACCUCUGAUGAACUUCACGUGCCUACGUUAUCUACAACCUGCAUGAGGUAAAAACCAACACGCUGAGCUAAUGCUCAGUGGGUGAUAACAACAAAUAACAGAAUAAAACAAACAAGUUCACGUAUACAGAUAAUCAGGUAAACAAAUACAAGCUAAUAGAUGCAAACACGUUAACACUCACUAAUAAGUUCACCAAAAUCAAGUAUCAAUCUUAAUUAAGAUCUUAGCCCUUAUAACCACAUAGUAGGAUCGACUAGGUAGAUAAGGAGAUAUAACGGUAGGCAUAGGGUGCCGAACGGUAGGCUCAGAGGCCAAAACUGUGAUAGCAAGGCUCUGUGGCCAUGCUUAUGAGGUACCAGAUAUGUAACCUCUAAUAUAGAUCAUGUAUCGGUAGCAGUACUGCGAACUCUGUAUGUUUAUAUGUCAUGCCAUACCCUUAAGCUAACCUCGACUCCUAUUACGUUUACCAGGGCCAAGUAUCAUUAACUCAAUAUAUCAAUGUAAAUACAUGUCAUUUGAAGCUCUUGGAUAAAGUACAUAUAUCAUAUGCCAAGGUUUACAAUAUGGAAAACUCAUGGCAAAUAGUGCAAAACUUUAUUGACUUAGCAUUUCAAUAUAGAAAACUACAUUCUGCCAUAUAUUGCAUAAACUUUUCAAGCAGUUUAAAGUUACAAUUUGACUUCAGUUUCUUCAUAAGAAAUGUACAUUUAUGUCUUCUCUUUCCAACAAGGUAUGGUUCAUGCAAAUCUGAUCAUCCUAACUUAAGUUAUGAAUUUUUCUUUACAAGCUGCUCAAUAAGGUCUUACUCAGUCCAGUAUUGGUACUUGUUUAUAGUAUCACAAAACUUAUCAGAUUCAUGCAUUUUCAUACAAAUUCAAGCUCAAGUGUCUUCUAAAAAGUUUUAGGUAUAUUUCUUACAAUUCAUUUGGCACUGGUCUUAACAAAUUUCACUGAGUAUGUCAUUAGUUAUGGUAUAAUCAAUAGACUCUAUUCCGGAUGCACUCCCACUGUGUCCAGUUUAGGUUCACUUGCAAUUUUCAUCAUUUUAACUACAGAUUCAGAAUUUUGUCAAUUCAUGAAAGUUUUAGAUAUUUGUCUUAGCUUUCAUUUGGUAUAUCUUAGGCCUAAUUUCAAUAUAUACACAAUAAGUUAUGAAGUUAGAAACACAAGCUGUCCUGUUACAACUUAUUCUGCCAGAUUUACACUUUUAGCUCCCAUGUUAAAUUUCUUUACUCUUAAGCCUUUCAAACAUCAUUUUAACAUUCAUAUAACAUAUUUAUACAAUCAAAGCAACAUUUCCAACAAGUAAAAUCAACCCCUAAUUUCACUUAUUCAUGGCAGAAUCAAAGGAAAACAGAAAAUCAUUAAAACACCAAACCUUUCUUGAAUUCUUCUUUUCUUUUCCUCUUCUAAUCUCUAGCUAUCUCCUUUUCCUUUGAUGUUCCUUCACCUAUGCCAAUUUAUAUCUUAGGGAAGGAUUGAAUAAAUUGUAAAUUAAAGCUUUAUAAUUCAAAUUCAUGCAUGAAGAAAUGAGAUGAUGUUAUUUCCUACUCAUUUCUAAGCUCACCUUUGAUUUUCAAGCUUGGUGCAUAUGGAACCCUAAACUUUUCUUCUUCAAUUCUUUCACUAUAUGGCUGUUCCUUUAGCUCUUGAUCUUAGGAUGAAUUUUUGUUAAAGGAAGAAGUUGUUUUGGUAAGG